rnacentral:rRNA from 1 species
GACGAACGCUGGCGGCGUGCUUAACACAUGCAAGUCGAACGGUGAAGCGCCUUCCUUUUUGGUGGGUGUGGGUGAGUGGCGAACGGGUGAGUAACACCUGAGUAACCUGCCCCCUUCUUCUGGAUAACCGCAUGAAAGUGUGGCUAAUACGGGAUAUUCUGGGUCUGUCGCAUGAUGGGUCUGUGAAAGAUAUUGUUUCGGUGGGGGGUGGGCUCGCGGCCUAUCAGCUUGUUGGUGGGGUGAUGGCCUACCAAGGCGGUGACGGGUAGCCGGCCUGAGAGGGUGGACGGUCACACUGGGACUGAGCCACGGCCCAGACUCCUACGGGAGGCAGCAGUGGGGAAUAGUGCACAAUGGGCGCAAGCCUGAUGCAGCGACGCCGCGUGAGGGAUGGAGGCCUUCGGGUUGUGAACCUCUUUCGCCAGUGAAGCAGGCCUGCCUCGUUUGUGGGUGGGUUGACGGUAGCUGGAUAAGAAGCGCCGGCUAACUACGUG